GACGAACGCUGGCGGCGUGCUUAACACAUGCAAGUCGAACGGAAAGGCCUGCUUUCCCUUGUGGAUUGCGGGUACUCGAGUGGCGAACGGGUGAGUAACACGUGAGUGAUCUGCCCCCAACUUGGGUAUAAGCCUGGGAAACUGGGUCUAAUUCCCGAUAGGACUGCAGGGUGGUGCCUGUGGUGGAAAACGAUUUUCUAGUGGUUGGGGAUGAGCUCGCGGCCUAUCAGCUUGUUGGUGGGGUAAUGGCCUACCAAGGCGGCGACGGGUAGCCGGCCUGGGAGGGUGGACGGCCACAUUGGGACUGAGAUACGGCCCAGACUCCUACGGGAGGCAGCAGUGGGGAAUAUUGCACAAUGGGCGGAAGCCUGAUGCAGCGACGCCGCGUGGGGGAUGACGGCCUUCGGGUUGUAAACUCCUUUCGACCGCGAGGAAGCCACCUGGUUGGAAGGGUGGUGACGGUAGUGGUAGAAGAAGCACCGACUAACUACGUG
rnacentral:rRNA from 1 species